UGGGGGAUAUUGCACAAUGGGCGAAAGCCUGAUGCAGCGACGCCGCGUGGGGGAUGAAGGCCUUCGGGUUGUAAACUUCUUUUGCUCUGAACAAGGCGCACCAUGGGGUGUGGUGAGUGUAGGGGUUGAUUAGCGCCGGCUAACUACGUGCCAGCAGCCGCGGUAAUACGUAGGGCGCGAGCGUUGUCCGGAAUUAUUGGGCGUAAAGGGCUUGUAGGUGGCUGGUUGCGUCUGUCGUGAAAGCUCAUGGCUUAACUGUGGGUUUGCGGUGGGUACGGGCUGGCUUGAGUGCAGUAGGGGAGGCUGGAAUUCCUGGUGUAGCGGUGGAAUGCGCAGAUAUCAGGAGGAAUACCGGUGGCGAAGGCGGGUCUCUGGGCUGUUACUGACACUGAGGAGCGAAAGCAUGGGGAGCGAACAGG
rnacentral:rRNA from 1 species